AUACUCUGGUUUCUCUUCAAAUCGUAUAAAUCUUUAGUCUUUAGUCUUUUACUAAAGAUUUCCAUGGAGAGGAACAAUUCUGAGUCUUUUUUUCUUUUUUUUGAGAUGGAGUUUCGCUC